AUUGAACGCUGGCGGCAUGCCUUACACAUGCAAGUCGAACGGUAACAGGUUAAGCUGACGAGUGGCGAACGGGUGAGUAAUGUAUCGGAACGUGCCCAGUCGUGGGGGAUAACUGCUCGAAAGAGCAGCUAAUACCGCAUACGACCUGAGGGUGAAAGCGGGGGAUCGCAAGACCUCGCGCGAUUGGAGCGGCCGAGAUCGGAUUAGGUAGUUGGUGAGGUAAAGGCUCACCAAGCCGACGAUCUGUAGCUGGUCUGAGAGGACGACCAGCCACACUGGGACUGAGACACGGCCCAGACUCCUACGGGAGGCAGCAGUGGGGAAUUUUGGACAAUGGGCGCAAGCCUGAUCCAGCCAUGCCGCGUGCGGGAAGAAGGCCUUCGGGUUGUAAACCGCUUUUGUCAGGGAAGAAAAGGUUCUGGCUAAUACCUGGGACUCAUGACGGUACCUGAAGAAUAAGCACCGGCUAACUACGUG
rnacentral:rRNA from 1 species